rnacentral:rRNA from 1 species
GACGAACGCUGGCGGCGUGCUUAACACAUGCCAGUCGAACGGAAAGGCCCUGCUUUUGUGGGGUGCUCGAGUGGCGAACGGGUGAGUAACACGUGAGUAACCUGCCCUUGACUUUGGGAUAACUUCAGGAAACUGGGGCUAAUACCGGAUAGGAGCUCCUGCUGCAUGGUGGGGGUUGGAAAGUUUCGGCGGUUGGGGAUGGACUCGCGGCUUAUCAGCUUGUUGGUGGGGUAGUGGCUUACCAAGGCUUUGACGGGUAGCCGGCCUGAGAGGGUGACCGGCCACAUUGGGACUGAGAUACGGCCCAGAAUCCUACGGGAGGCAGCAGUGGGGAAUAUUGCAAAAUGGGCGGAAGCCUGAUGCAGCAACGCCGCGUGCGGGAUGACGGCCUUCGGGUUGUAAACCGCUUUCGCCUGUGACGAAGCGUGAGUGACGGUAAUGGGUAAAGAAGCACCGGCUAACUACGUG